rnacentral:lncRNA from 1 species
UUUUAAUAAAUGUAAACUUAAUUUUACUCUAAAUAACAUGGUAUGAUACAAUUGGUAGAUAAUGAGUCUCUUAAGCAUGUUGUCCUAGGUCUAGAAGAAUCUCAUUUGGGAAAUGUCAACCUCUUAAAUACUUCGACGAGUUAGACUCUAACCGUAGAUCGUGGAUACACGGGUUCAUGCUUAAUUUUACUUUUUAGUUCGCAUGCCGUUUUUUAAGACACUAAAGAGUUAGGACCAAUGUUGUGAGCUAAUUAUUCCCUUGAAAGUGAAUUUACAGCAUUAAUUGUUAUUGAGUGAUUAACCAAGAAAUAUGCAGUUUAUGGAGUAGCCACUAAAUAUUUUUCAACUAGUUUGAACACGAGGGGCAUGGAGAUGGAGGAGAAUUGUAUUUUACUUACAAGCAUUAUUAAAAUUUCAAACCUUCUGAUUCUAAAUUGUGAAAACUAGAGUACUUGCUAUGAAUGAUAUGCUUGUUACAUAUGCUUUGACUGAAAUUCUGCCUGGUAGGUUUUGCAUGAUGUGCAGAAAAGCCGUAUAACUGAUUAUUUUGUUUGAAUGCCAUGACAUUACUCUUAACUCAUAGCUACAUUAGAAUUUUCUUACGAGUUUAAUAAAUUCCGU